CUUUUUGCCAUUUCUUGGGCCACUCCCGCGGCAUAUGGAGGUUCCCAGGCUAGGGGUCUAAUCGGAGCUGUAGCCACUGGCCUACGCCAGAGCCACAGCAACUCGGGAUCCAAGCCACGUCUGUGACCCACACCACAGCUGAUGGCAACGCCGGAUUGUUAACCCACUGAGCAAGGGCAGGAAUCAAACCCGAAACCUCAUGGUUCUUAGUCGGAUUCUUUAACCACUGUGCCACGACGGGAACUCCGAUUGUUUUUUUUAAUUUAAAAAAAUAAAAAUAAAAUAAAAAUCUAUGAGGAGUCAAAAACAAUCAGUAGGCUGCUCCAGGAAAACCAAGAAGGGCUGGCUUGGUCUUGGUGACGUCUCCCAAGGAAACUCAGGAUGGGGCCUUGGUCUUCCAUGAGGGGUGUCACACCCAGAACCUGCAGAACUCAGCCACAAACUGGGAGGUGACUGCUGUCUUGAGGGGCCACCCUGUGGGGUUUUCCUAAUACACCUGAUCUGUUGGAAACACUGUGGGGCCGUAUGAUGUGGCAAGUGUUCAUGGGAGUCCUGCCUUCAGGCCCCAAAGCCCUGAAGGGGUCGGUUUUUGUAAACGCCCCAUGGAGACUCCGCGAUCACACCCAGGCACUAGAAAGGCUGGGUGGCUGAACACAACAGACGUGUAUUCGCUGACAUUCUGGAGGCUAGAAGCCUGGAAUCAAUUGUCAGCAGAGCCAUGUUCCCACAGAAGGCUCUGGGGGAGGAUCUGUUCUUUCCCUUUGCUCUUGCUGGCCCAUGAGGUGCCCUCCAACAAUUGGUGAGCCAGUCAGCAGACUAAGGAAAUUCCCAUGAGCACCCAAGAUGUUGGGAAAUAAAGACAGGUUGUGGAAGGCUAGCACGUGGGGCCCUGUGGCAGCUGACCGCCAUGAGAGUGGUCUUUUUCUUUCAUCACAUUGAUGAUAUCCUGUUAACCUCAGAGUCUCUUUCCAGUUUAAAAGUAACAGCCCCAUGCCUGUGGCUCAUCUGACUGCACAAGGGAUGGCUGGUGAAUACAGACAAAACACCAGGACCAGGAUUAUCUAUCAGAUACUUGGGUGUUAUCUGGUUGGAUAAGACAAGCAUACUCCCGACCCACCACCCUAAACAUUUACAUACACGGGCUUUAGGAAUAUUACCUUAGGGACAGUCUUGUGAAUUGGACAUGACCAGUCACCUGGAAGGGUUUGAUGAGGGCCUGUAGCAAUGGCAAAAUAAUGAGUACCCUUGAGCUUCUGGUCCUAGCCAUGGAAAUAGGCAGAGCAAUGAUACAGUGUGAUGGAACAGCGGUUAUAUGCCAUCUACAAUGUGUGACAAUGGGUAGAAGAUGUUAUAAAAGGUCUACCCGAGGUGUUGAGCGAUGCAGAAAACAAAAUUCAAGGUCUAGAACUGCUGUGCGAAUGGGCCGAUAAAUUGACCUAUGCUGUCAUUUACACGUUCCCUACAACCCCACUGCUCCUGGGCUAACUGAAAGGAUGGGUGGACUACUUAAACAGCAACUACACAGAGAAACUCGCUCUUUCAACAUGCGGAAAUACACCAGGAGCAAUUGUCCCAUUUCCUACCCUAUGUCAACUGAGAAAAAAUAAUAGUCAACACACCCCGAGUUCAGCUGUUUUUGCUCUUGCCCCAGGAUCUACCCUCAGAGGGGGACAUACAAAACGGCCCUGGAAUCGACAGGUAAAUCUCUGUGGUUUGGCUUUGCUGUCUCAUGGGGAAUAAGACUAGAAAGGGACUUAGAGAUUUCACCUGUAUUCUACCCUAGUCCCCCUUAAGACUGUAAGGUAAUUCAUCUCCGCCCCUUACUAGAGAAAGGUGCCAUUCUGUUAACAUCGUCUCCAGCAUCCAGCACCAGCUGUGGGAACUGUGGGUGGAUGCAGGUGGACAGGCAGUAUGGAGCUGCAGGCCAGGACACAACUGGGCAGGGGCAGUCUGUUAUCUCAGAAUGCUAUUCUGCUUGAACUUUGCUUAAUGGUCUUGAUCUUCCCCUUCCUGUGCCUGUUUAAACAUCUUACAUUCCAUCCCUGCUGUGAGCCACUGGCUGACAGUAGUGGCCUCAGGGCUAAAUGAGUGUGACUGCUGGGUCUGCAGUCCUCCAUUCUCACCCUCCUUGGGACUCCCAUGAAAAAUUGACCCAAUAAGCACCUGGCUCCAAAGGCUGCCCACCCCUUGGACUCUGUUUCGUUUGUGUUGUAUUUGUAUUGUAUUUGGCUACAGUGCUCCUUGUCAUUCUGAUCUCAGGAAUAUCACAGAAGAGGGGAGGACCAAGAUUGUAAGGGUUGUACAGGGUAUCUGGAGUGGACUGGAUGGUCAGGCGACUCAAGACAGCUGUUGUCUUGCUCUUUGUACAUCCCAUGUGCCACCAGUCCCUGCCUCACCUACACCCUAGGCACGUGAAUGUGCUUGCCCCCUGCCCCAGCUAGUGAUUGUUCUAAUCCUUAGGCCAGAAAGGCUCCACCUGCUAGUUCAUUAAAGGGAAACAUAUACCUUUGUGAUGCUCAUUAACCUGACGGGCUGUGAGGGACGUGCCCAGCUCUGGUUUCCCUGGUAACUGAUGAGCCAAGGUGACGUCAGUUCCCCUAUAAGUGUCAGGCUCCUCCUCCCCAGAGUAGUAAAGAUGGCUGCCAUCUCUCCAGCUUGCUGCACUGGGCUCCACUGUGAUGUCACCCAGGAGCUUUUGCUUUGGAUAAGCCUUUCAUGUCUCUGGGCUCUUUGGUCUCAUUGCUGGUCAACUACAAGGCCUGCAGGGUGCAGCCCAGCCAACACCCUCCCUCCUUCCUGUUCCGCAGGUAAAGCAGAGUUUGUUUUCUUUGUGAGUCUGUUGCUGGUUUGCUAUAUACAUUUGUUUUUUAGAUUCCACAUAUGUGACAUCUUCCAGUGUUUGGCUUUUCAUCAUUGUCUGACAUAAUUCACUGAGUGUGGUGUUCUCUAGGUCUAUCCAUGUUUCCAUGUUGCUGCAAAUGGCUGGAUUUCCUUUUUUUUUUUUUUUUGCUUUUCAGGGCCGCACUUGGGGCAUAUGGAAGUUCCCAGGCUAGGGGUUGAACCAGAGCUAUAACUGCCAGCCUACACCACAGCCACAGCAA
rnacentral:lncRNA from 1 species